UACGUAGGGAGCAAGCGUUGUCCGGAUUUACUGGGUGUAAAGGGUGCGUAGGCGGGCUUGCAAGUCAGAAGUGAAAUCUAUGGGCUUAACCCAUAAACUGCUUUUGAAACUGUAAGUCUUGAGUGAAGUAGAGGUAGGCGGAAUUCCCGGUGUAGCGGUGAAAUGCAUAGAUAUCACGCAGAACUCCGAUUGCGAAGGCAGCAUACCGGCGCCCAACUGACGCUGAAGCACGAAAGCGUGGGUAUCGAACAGG
rnacentral:rRNA from 1 species